AAUAUUGGACAAUGGGCGAAAGCCUGAUCCAGCCAUGCCGCGUGUGUGAAGAAGGUCUUCGGAUUGUAAAGCACUUUAAGUUGGGGGGAAGGGAGGUAAGUUAUUACCUUGCUGUUUGGAGGUUACGGACAGAUUAGCCACCGCCUACCUUGUUGCCAGCAGCCGCGGUAAUACGAAGGGUGCAAGCGUUAAUCGGAAUUACUGGGCGUAAAGCGCGCGUAGGUGGUUUGUUAAGUUGGAAGUGAAAGCCCCGGGCUCAACCUGGGAACUGCUUUCAAAACUGGCAAGCUAGAGUACGGUAGAGGGUAGUGGAAUUUCCUGUGUAGCGGUGAAAUGCGUAGAUAUAGGAAGGAACACCAGUGGCGAAGGCGACCACCUGGGCUAAUACUGACACUGAGGUGCGAAAGCGUGGGGAGCAAAC
rnacentral:rRNA from 1 species